rnacentral:rRNA from 1 species
GACGAACGCUGGCGGCGUGCCUAAUACAUGCAAGUUGAGCGCUGAAGGUUGGUACUUGUACCAACUGGAUGAGCAGCGAACGGGUGAGUAACGCGUGGGGAAUCUGCCUUUGAUCGGGGGACAACAUUUGGAAACGAAUGCUAAUACCGCAUAAAAACUUUAAACACAAGUUUUAAGUUUGAAAGAUGCAAUUGCAUCACUCAAAGAUGAUCCCGCGUUGUAUUAGCUAGUUGGUGAGGUAAAGGCUCACCAAGGCGAUGAUACAUAGCCGACCUGAGAGGGUGAUCGGCCACAUUGGGACUGAGAAACGGCCCAAACUCCUACGGGAGGCAGCAGUAGGGAAUCUUCGGAAAUGGACGAAAGUCUGACCGAGCAACGCCGGGUGAGUGAAGAAGGUUUUCGGAUCGUAAAACUCUGUUGGUAGAGAAGAAAGUUGGUGAGAGUGGAAAGCUCAUCAAGUGACGGUAACUACCCAGAAAGGGACGGCUAACUACGUG